rnacentral:rRNA from 1 species
CCUACGGGAGGCAGCAGUGAGGAAUAUUGGUCAAUGGACGAGAGUCUGAACCAGCCAAGUAGCGUGAAGGAUGACUGCCCUAUGGGUUGUAAACUUCUUUUAUAUGGGAAUAAAACGUUCCACGUGUGGGAUUUUGUAUGUACCAUAUGAAUAAGGAUCGGCUAACUCCGUGCCAGCAGCCGCGGUAAUACGGAGGAUCCGAGCGUUAUCCGGAUUUAUUGGGUUUAAAGGGAGCGUAGGUGGAUUGUUAAGUCAGUUGUGAAAGUUUGCGGCUCAAUCGUAAAAUUGCAGUUGAAACUGGCAGUCUUGAGUACAGUAGAGGUGGGCGGAAUUCGUGGUGUAGCGGUGAAAUGCUUAGAUAUCACGAAGAACUCCGAUUGCGAAGGCAGUUCACUGGACUGCAACUGACACUGAGGCUCGAAAGUGUGGGUAUCAAACAGGAUUAGAUACCCCUGUAGUC